CAGGACGAACGCUGGCGGCGUGCCUAAUACAUGCAAGUAGAACGCUGAAGGAAGGAGCUUGCUCUUUCCGGAUGAGUUGCGAACGGGUGAGUAACGCGUAGGUAACCUGCCUGGUAGCGGGGGAUAACUAUUGGAAACGAUAGCUAAUACCGCAUAACAGUAGAUAUCGCAUGAUAUUUGCUUGAAAGGUGCAAUUGCACCACUACCAGAUGGACCUGCGUUGUAUUAGCUAGUUGGUGAGGUAACGGCUCACCAAGGCAACGAUACAUAGCCGACCUGAGAGGGUGAUCGGCCACACUGGGACUGAGACACGGCCCAGACUCCUACGGGAGGCAGCAGUAGGGAAUCUUCGGCAAUGGACGGAAGUCUGACCGAGCAACGCCGCGUGAGUGAAGAAGGUUUUCGGAUCGUAAAGCUCUGUUGUAAGAGAAGAACGAGUGUGAGAGUGGAAAGUUCACACUGUGACGGUAUCUUACCAGAAAGGGACGGCUAACUACGUGCCAGCAGCCGCGGUAAUACGUAGGUCCCGAGCGUUGUCCGGAUUUAUUGGGCGUAAAGCGAGCGCAGGCGGUUAGAUAAGUCUGAAGUUAAAGGCUGUGGCUUAACCAUAGUACGCUUUGGAAACUGUUUAACUUGAGUGCAAGAGGGGAGAGUGGAAUUCCAUGUGUAGCGGUGAAAUGCGUAGAUAUAUGGAGGAACACCGGUGGCGAAAGCGGCUCUCUGGCUUGUAACUGACGCUGAGGCUCGAAAGCGUGGGGAGCA
rnacentral:rRNA from 1 species